GCGCUCUUAGUUCAAUUCGGUAGAACGUGGGUCUCCAAAAUCCAAUGUUGUAGGUUCAAAUCCUACAUAGUGUG
rfam:Gossypium hirsutum cultivar TM-1 chromosome 13, whole genome shotgun sequence